AUGGCUGAGGGCCGCGUUUCGUCCUUUCUUCCUCCGCGUGUUCUCUUUGUGGUGUUCUCAUGUACUUCGUCCUCCUCACCUCCACAACUUGCCGCCCUCGGGACGCAUUCUCCGGUUUCUGCGCCCAAGACUGCGGGAUGCAGAACCUGCCGCGGAGAAACCGGCCUUCUCCGUCUCGGCGGUGGAGGCCAACAAGGCGGCCACGAUGGCGGCUCGCGUAGGGGUAGUCCGCGGCCUGCACACCGCGCCCUUUGACGGCUGUUCCGGAUGGAGACUCCAUGAAGACAGAUGUGACGGUGAUACUGUGCAGCACUAGGGCCUGGUUCUUCUCAAGGCUCUUAAGUCGGGGAAGCCAGCCUGUCUGCCUCUGCUCAGUCACUAAGGUAAAGGUGCUGUCGGACACAGCCUUACCCUCCGGUUCCCUUUCCCAUCGGAUCUUGACACUGGUCUUGGUGGUCGUAAAGGAGGGAGAGCAGACCGAAGCUGGCCUCAUGGCAAUAUAGUCUGCUAUAGAGCAUUAGGUCAGAUUCAUACAUGCCUUGGCUCUUGUAAAGUGGGAUAGCCUGAGAAUUAUAUAUGCAUCUGGGCAGUUGUAGCAUUGUGUUUGUGUGUCUAAUGAUUGAUUUAUUUAUUUAGAUAGAGCCAUGUAACCCAGUGAAGGGACCAUCAUUUGUGAUCUCAUCUACAGUUUGUUGG